rnacentral:rRNA from 1 species
AUACAGAGGGUGCGAGCGUUAAUCGGAAUUACUGGGCGUAAAGCGCGCGUAGGCGGCUUAUUAAGUCAGAUGUGAAAUCCCCGGGCUCAACCUGGGAACUGCAUCUGAUACUGGUAAGCUAGAGUUUAGGAGAGGGAAGUAGAAUUUCAGGUGUAGCGGUGAAAUGCAUAGAGAUCUGAAGGAAUACCAGUGGCGAAGGCGACUUCCUGGCCUAAAACUGACGCUGAGGUGCGAAAGCGUGGGUAGCAAACGGGAUUAGAAACCCGGGUAGUCC